rnacentral:rRNA from 1 species
GACGAACGCUGGCGGCGUGCUUAACACAUGCAAGUCGAACGGAAGGGCCCUGCUUUUGUGGGGUGCUCGAGUGGCGAACGGGUGAGUAACACGUGAGUAACCUGCCCUUGACUUUGGGAUAACUUCAGGAAACUGGGGCUAAUACCGGAUAGGAGCUCCUGCUGCAUGGUGGGGGUUGGAAAGUUUCGGCGGUUGGGGAUGGACUCGCGGCUUAUCAGCUUGUUGGUGGGGUAGUGGCUUACCAAGGCUUUGACGGGUAGCCGGCCUGAGAGGGUGACCGGCCACAUUGGGACUGAGAUACGGCCCAGACUCCUACGGGAGGCAGCAGUGGGGAAUAUUGCACAAUGGGCGGAAGCCUGAUGCAGCAACGCCGCGUGCGGGAUGACGGCCUUCGGGUUGCAAACCGCUUUCGCCUGUGACGAAGCGUGAGUGACGGUAAUGGGUAAAGAAGCACCGGCUAACUACGUG